GACGAACGCUGGCGGCGUGCUUAACACAUGCAAGUCGAACGGAAAGGCCCUGCUUUUGUGGGGUGCUCGAGUGGCGAACGGGUGAGUAACACGUGAGUAACCUGCCCUUGACUUUGGGAUAACUUCAGGAAACUGGGGCUAAUACCGGAUAGGAGCUCCUGCUGCAUGGUGGGGGUUGGAAAGUUUCGGCGGUUGGGGAUGGACUCGCGGCUUAUCAGCUUGUUGGUGGGGUAGUGGCUUACCAAGGCUUUGACGGGUAGCCGGCCUGAGAGGGUGACCGGCCACAUUGGGACUGAGAUGCGGCCCAGAGUCCUACGGGGGGCAGCAGUGGGGAACAUUGCACAAUGGGCGGAAGCCUGAUGCAGCAACGCCGCGUGCGGGAUGACGGUAUUCGGGUGGUAAACCGCUUGCGCCUGUGACGAAGCGUGAGUGACGGUAAUGGGUAAAGAAGCACCGGCUAACUACGUG
rnacentral:rRNA from 1 species